GAUGAAGAACGCAGCGAAAUGCGAUACGUAGUGUGAAUUGCAGAAUUCAGUGAAUCAUCGAAUCUUUGAACGCACAUUGCACCUCUCGGUAUUCCGGGAGGUAUGCCUGUUCGAGCGUCAUUUGUACCCUCAAGCUCUGCUUGGUGUUGGGUGUUUGUUCCGCCUCUGUGUGUGAACUCGCCUCAAAACAAUUGGCAGCCGGCGUACUUGUUUCGGAGCGCAGCACAUUUUGCGAUCCAGAUCAACGUACAGCGGCAUCCAAGAAGCCUUAUUUAACGCACUUGACCUCGGAUCAGGUAGGGAUACCCGCUGAACUUAAGCAUAUCAAUAAGCGGAGGA
rnacentral:misc_RNA from 1 species